AUCGAUGGCCAGACGGCCGCCGGGUCCGUCUUCGGGCGGGCCGGGAGGAAAGUCCGGGCUCCAUAGGGCGCGGUGCUGGGCAAUACCCAGCGGGGGCGACCCCGGGCAAGCGCAACAGAAAGCAGACCGCCGCUUUGGGCCUUAGGGCCGAAAGAGGCAAGGGUGAAACGGCGAGGUAAGAGCUCACCGGCCGGCUGGGCGACCAGCCGGGCCAGGCAAGCCCCACCGGGAGCAAGACCAAGUAGGGGGAUAGGGCGGCCCGUCCAGUCCCCGGGUUGGUCGCUUGAGCGCGCGGAGCAAUCCGCCGCCUAGAGGAAUGGUCGUCGCCGCGGGCCGAAAGCCCUGGGCUUUCGGCCAGCGGCACAGAACCCGGCUUAUCGGCCGCUAUCA
rnacentral:RNase_P_RNA from 1 species